UACGUAGGGGGCAAGCGUUGUCCGGAUUUAUUGGGCGUAAAGAGCGUGUAGGCGGCCUGACAGGUCUGCUGUGAAAACUCGAGGCUCAACCUCGAGAUGUCGGCGGAAACCGUCUGGCUAGAGUCCGGAAGAGGCGAGUGGAAUUCCUGGUGUAGCGGUGGAAUGCGCAGAUAUCAGGAGGAACACCAACGGCGAAGGCAGCUCGCUGGGACGGUACUGACACUAAGGCGCGAAAGCGUGGGGAGCGAACAGG
rnacentral:rRNA from 1 species